UACAGAGGUCCCGAGCGUUGUUCGGAUUCACUGGGCGUAAGGGUGCGUAGGUGGCGAUGAAAGUUCGAUGUGAAAUCUCCGGGCUUAACCCGGAAAAGGCAUUGAAAACUAUGUUGCUUGAGGUUUGGAGGGGGGACUGGAAUUCUUGGUGUAGCAGUGAAAUGCGUAGAUAUCAAGAGGAACACCAGUGGCGAAGGCGGGUCCCUGGACAACACCUGACACUGAGGCACGAAAGCUAGGGAGCAAACAGG
rnacentral:rRNA from 1 species